GCAUAAGAAUUCAAACAACAGGUAGAGUUCUAUAGUCUAGCCAUGGCUUUCAGCCGACUAGACACAAACAGUAAUGCUAGUAGUAGUAAAGAGAAGAGAGAUCUUUGAGUAUGCAUGUGUUUUUGAACUCAAUUGUUCGUGUGCUUAAAGAAGAAGAGUACGGUAUUUAUAGUUUGAAAGCAGGUAGGGAAUAAGGAAAGGAAAUAAGUUAAGG
rnacentral:lncRNA from 1 species